GUAUGGCAUUAUGGCUAGAGGCAUCGGGUGGGAUGAAAGGAGGAAAAAUAUUUGGGAGGGAUCCUUGUCAAGGGCAUACACAAUGAAGGCUGCUGCAACUUCAUCCUUCAAUGCGGCUGUUUCAAGGAGGACACGACAUGAGGAGCAAAUGACCGAAGAAUUGAGCCAAUUGAAAGAUUUACUUGUACAAAAGGACGAAGAACUCAAACAUUUACUUGUACAGAAGGACGAAGAAAUAAGAGGAAUGAAACAACAAAUGCAAUUGAUCUUGCGACACCUCAACCUCGAUCACGAUGAGGUUCCUCAUGUACCUCCCACUAAUCCAAUAGGUGAUGGGCACAAUGGUGAGCCACACAAUGAUAAUGAGAUUGCUGAUGAUGAUGAUGAUGAUGAUUUUAUUAGCAGUCCUUGCUAGUUCAUUCUCUUCGGGGGUAAGCUUAUGAGGACCAACUUACAACAAUUACUUUCUGUGCACAACUUUCGUACAUGUCUGUACAAUGCUUGCGAAAAAUUGAAAAUUUGACAAAAGUCACUGUUCUUUGUUCAGAAAAUCAUGACAGUUCAACAUUGUAGAAAUACGUGCCUUAUUUGAUUUCAAAUUUUGAUCAUAUUUGCAGAUGGGAGAAGCUGAGUUUCACAUGUUGUACAAUUGAACUGUGAUUCCUUUUAUUGCAUGUUCUCAAGUGGACAUGUUUCAAGUAAAGAUGCUAAUUUUUAAAUGUUUUGAAGAGAAUGAUCUAUCUUUUACAUUUCUGAGUGGCCACACAAAUUGAGAAAUUUGACUUUUGAUAUGUCAUUCUUGUGGAUGAGUUAUAUCCAUUGUCAGUAACAUAAUAUCUCAAAGUAAAACAUGAGAAGCUUUACAUGCUGAAUAAUCAAUUCAUAAAUUUGAUACACUAUUAUUUGAAGUCAGGUUAGAUUAGGGGAGCCUGGAUACAAGGAAAGGUAUUAUGCAGAGAAAUUUCAUGCGUCAACUUCGGAUGAGAUAGAGAGUUAAAGAAGGAAACGGUACGUGUUUUUUUGUAUCUUGAAGCUUUCAGUUUACUUUAUUUAAUAUCAAUAUUAUUUCUCGUAAUUAUUUUGAUUUUAUAUUGUCUUGGUAACUUAGAAUUUAUAUGUUUUGAAGUGUUAUGUGCUUACUUCGCUUGAUUUAAUUUCUGUAACAUGGAUUUAGUUAAUUUAGAUGGUAGGGCAGUCUUAAGACUCUCAAUGUCUUAAUAGCAUACCUUUACAUUUAGAUGUUUCCUUCAAUUGCAAAUCUGUGUGGAUGUGGAAGUUCUGUAUGAAGUGUUCCUUUUUAUGGGGACUUACAACAUAGAAGUUCUGGAUUUUAAUUUUUGCAUUGCUGGGACUUAUAGUUGUUGGUCUGGCAACGCAGAAUGCGGAUGCCACCUUACUGGCUGAACAGCUCCCAGAUUGGGAUCUAUGGGAAACCAGCUCCAGAAGAUUUCUCUGCAGAUUACGAACACUUGAAACGAGUAGUGAGUGGCAUGUACAUGUCGGGGCUUGGAAUUAGUUGGUCCGGCGUGAGAAAUGUUAUGGACAUGAGAGCUGUCUAUGGCGGGUAUGAUAUGCUUAUAUUUUAAUCUUCUUUAAGGUAAAAUUCAGAUGAAUGUCUCAUGAGAGCUUUCUCCCGCUUCCUUGCAGAUUUGCUACUGCACUGAAGGAUCUCCAGAUGUGGGUGCUGAACAUGGUAAAUGUUGACUCACGAGAUACGCUUCCCACGAUUCGUGCGAGUCCUUCAGCACGUACCCUAGAACCUAUGAUCUGCUGCAUGCAGAUCAUCUCUUCUCCAAGCUUAGGAAGAGGUGCAAGCUUGCACCGGUAAUGGCAGAAGUUGAUCGAAUCGUGAGACCUGGAGGUAAAAUAAUAGUCCAUGAUGAGUCCAAUGCAAUAGGGGAGAUCGAGAACUUACUUAAAUCACUGCAUUGGGAGGUCCACUUAACAUUCUCCAAAGACCGAGAAGGGAUUCUCAGUGCACAGAAAGGUGAUUGGCGGCCAAGCAUAUACACAGCUACUUCCUAAUUAUUAAGGCAAGUGCCCUUGAUUUUGUGUUGCAAGAAGCAAUAGGUACACUUUUUUAGCUAUUGGUGAAUAUCUUUAUUUAUGUAUCCACAUUUCAUCAGGUGUCGACAAAAGUGAUUGUU